UCUCUUCAUCUUCUACAAAAAAACAGCACUCACACACACUCACAGAUACGCUUUUUUUUUUUAAUCUUUUUAUUAUUUGUAGAGAGAAAACAACUGAAGAUCACAGAAAGUGAAAUUCUAGAUAGGGAAAACCUAAGAAAACUAGAGAGAGAAACCGCCUGCUUAGCUUUAGCUUUUAGCUUCUUGAUUCUUGUUUCUUUUUUCUUCGCCAUUUCCGCCAGUAGAACCCGGAAAUGCUAUAAUCAAGAGAAGUUUUCUGCUCGCCGGUUCCUUCAUUGUGCUUGAAAUGACCCUUCUAUUGUUAACAAGGUAUUGCUGCUCUUCAAUAAUACUACUCAAGUGAAAAUUCUGUAUUUUCUUGCAGAUUCUAGGAAUUUGAUUUGGUUUAUUGAUUUAUCGAUUGGGGCCUUGGUAAAAGUGAACUGGGUUAAUCAUAAAUUGGGGGUUUUUGGGUGAUAGUUAAAGGUUUUAGUUUGGGGCAUUAUAGAAAUAUAGAUUAGGAGUAGUUUUUCAAGUUCAAGAGAAUGGGUGAUACUGAAGAGGCUAAUAGUGAAAUGAUGCAAAGGCUUCAAUCUUCGUUUGGGACUACGCAAUCGUCUUCAUCAAUGCCUAAACAACCAUUUUUAUCAAUUAACCAGCUCGAUAUACCCCAAUUGAACCAGACCCAUACGCGUGCCAGGCAUUUUGCACACUUUGCACAGAAUUUUAGCACUGAUAAUAGCAAAAGAGUUGGGAUACCACCCUCCCACCCCAAUCAGAUCCCACCCAUUUCGCCGUAUUCCCAGAUCCCGGUGUCUAGGCCAACUAGCCAGCAGAUGGGUUCCCCGAACUUUAGUCCAGGGCCUACCCAUUCAAGAUCUUUAUCUCAGCCUUCAUCAUUUUUCUCGCUUGAUUCACUGCCACCGUUAAGUCCGGCCCCUUUCCGUGAUUCCUCUUCAGCGUCUGCGUCUGACCCAAUACCAGCUGAUGUGUCCAUGGAAGACAGGGAUGCAAGUGCUCAUUCCCUAUUACCACCCUCGCCCUUUAAUAAGGGUAAUACUUCACGAGUUGGUGAGAGCUUGCCCCCACGCAAGACACAUAGGAGGUCUAACAGUGAUAUUCCAUUUGGGUUUACGAAUGUUAUGCAAUCUUCGCCACCUCUUGUUCAGUUGAGGGGUUCAGGUGUUCUAGAGCGGUCAGUGUCUGGGAAAGAGAAUCCAUGGGUGGCUAAGCCAGUCCAGUUGGUGAAAAGGGAAUGGGAGAGAGGUGGUGAUAGUAAUGCUGAGGGGAUGGGCGAGAGGAAAUCUGAAGGUGAAGUUGUGGAUGAUUUGUUUUCUGCUUAUAUGAAUUUGGACAACAUUGAUGCAUUUAACUCUUCGGGAACUGAUGAGAAGCUGGGUAUUGAGAACCGUGAAGAUUUAGAUAGUAGAGCGAGUGGUACAAAGACGAAUGGUGGUGACAGCAGUGAUAAUGAAGCUACAAGCAGUGUCAAUGACAGUAGCAGCGGCAGUAUGCAGAAGAGAGAAGGGGUCAAAAGGAGUGCUGUGGGAGAUAUCGCUCCAACCACUAGACACUACAGGAGUGUUUCGAUGGAUAGUUUUAUGGGGAAGUUAAACUUCAUCGAUGAUUCACCAAAGUUGCCUCCAUCUCCUGGACCACGCCCAGGCCAACUCUCACCAACCAGUUCACUUGAUGGAAAUUCAAACAGUUUCAGUUUGGAAUUUGGAAAUGGUGAAUUUAGUGGUGCUGAAUUGAAGAAAAUUAUGGCAAAUGAAAAACUUGCAGAGAUAGCUUUAGCAGAUCCAAAACGAGCCAAAAGGAUUAUUGCAAAUCGACAAUCUGCUGCUCGGUCAAAAGAGAGGAAAGCCCACUAUAUGUCAGAACUUGAAAGAAAAGUGCAGACUCUUCAGACAGAAGCAACUACACUUUCUGCACGGCUCACAUUAUUCCAGAGAGAUACAACAGGUCUGACUACCGAGAACACUGAGCUUAAGAUUCGGUUACAAGCUAUGGAGCAACAGGCUCAAUUACGUGAUGGUUCGUUUUAAGCUUUCCUGCUUUAAUUUUAUUAGCUCGUUCAUUGUUGGAUGCAUCUUUUUCAGAAAGUACUAAGUUAGAGAUUGGAGGCUUUGAGGACUGUUCCAUGGUUUUUCAACACAUGCCAAUGAUAUUCUGAAGUGUAAUAAGUAUUUUCUGUAUGAUCUGAAAUUAAGUGGUGCUGCUUACUUGGACCAUAAAUACUGUCACAAUAUAAUUAUUGACUACUCUUCCAUCAAUCUGGACCACUUUCUGGGGUUCUGGCACUUGGAAUAUGGAAUUUCUCAUUACUACUGGUAUACUUGGUGUAUGAACUUUCUAGUCUACAUUUUCUGAUGGAAGACUUCAGUAUGUUAUGAGGAAUAACAUAUUUCUCUCGAAUUUUCUUUCUGACUUGAAAUUUCUCCAGUUCUUCAUUUGCAUUUGAUCGUAAGUUUGAAGUUUCUAACGGUUUAAGCUGUUAUGUAACUUUUGUGAUAUGCAGCUCUGAAUGAGGCGCUAAAGAAGGAAGUAGACAGACUCAAGAUUGCCACUGGAGAAAUGAUGACACCAACAGAUACCUAUAAUUUGGGAAUGCAUCAUGUGCCGUACACCCAAUCUUCCUAUUUUCAACCCCAGUCACAACCUAUGCAAGUUAACACCCAAAACAUGCAAAUGCCGCAGUUUCAUCUCUUUCAGUCUAACAUGCCAAUUCCACAUCAGCCUAUGGGUACUGCAUCUCAUUCACAUGCCUUCCAGGAGAUGUUGCCACAGGAUCCUCUUGGGCGAUUGCAGGGGCUAGAUAUUGGUAGCAGAAGCACUCUUCUAGUUAAAUCCGAAGGCCCCUCAAUUUCGGCUAGUGAAAGCAGCAGUAUUUGAUUCAAGGUUUUCGCUGGGCUACACUCUGCUCCAUCGUAUUUGUUGGAUUGUUUAUAGACUGACCGUAUUGACAGACUAAGGUAUUCUUUGGAGUUCGAUUCUUUACUCUUGAGUGGGAUCUUUUGGUUUUUGGCUAACCAGCUCUUUAAGAUAAGAGGUUUUCUCUGUGUUGGAAUCAAAUUUGCAUUUCUUGGGGAUUAAUGAGGCUGGAAUAGAAGGUUGUUCCUGUUACAGAUGCAUCAUUUCAUACUAGGUGCUCCCAUGUUAGAUUCUGUUUGUUACUAUCCAAAAUUUGUAUUGCUCAGAACAUUGAAAAUUUUUUUUAUUUGCUCAAUAGUUUCAAUGGAUGAUCUCUCUCUCUUCCUUGUAUUAGUAUUAGCCACUUGUGAUGUCGUCUAUGACAGUUACUCUGCUAUCUUUGCUGAUACUUCUUAUGAAAUGAAUAAUUCGUAACUCUAGAAAUUUUGUUAGGGAUAGCAUGUAACGUUGCCGGCCCCAGCUACUUUGCAAUUAAGGCAUAGUAGUUGUUGUUGAUUGCAGAUGACAUUGAUGCUCGGAUUUUUGAAUGCAGGAGAAUGUUGAUUGGCUUGAUGGGUUGUCCUAUGUAAU
rnacentral:misc_RNA from 1 species